GACUUGGUGAAUAAUUUGAAAAGGAACCAUCGGAGGAUGAUGGCCACAUUUCUGGCUCCAGCCAUCAGUAUGAACUUAUGGUUGAAGGCAUUCUCAGGGGUUAACAAGAAUUCUGGACAGAAAUAUGGCUAUAAUGACAUGGAGGCCAGCUUAUACAGAUGGCAAAAUCACAAGAUUGAAAGAUACUGAAUCAUUGAGUCACUACCUUGUAGAGACCUAUUCAGGAAAACAGGCUGGCAUCA